AGGUAAGCUACUAAGAGCGAAUGGUGGAUGCCUUGACUGGUAAAGGCGAUGAAGGACGUACUAGACUGCGAUAAGCUACGGGGAGCUGUCAAGAAGCUUUGAUCCGUAGAUUUCCGAAUGGGGCAACCCAAUGUAUAGAGAUAUACAUUACCUAUAUAGGAGCGAACGAGGGGAAUUGAAACAUCUUAGUACCCUCAGGAAAAGAAAUCAAUAGAGAUUGCGUCAGUAGCGGCGAGCGAAAGCGCAAGAGGGCAAACCCAGUGCUUGCACUGGGGGUUGUAGGACUGCAAUGUGCAAGAGGUAAGUUUAGCAGAACAUUCUGGAAAGUAUAACCAUAGAGGGUGAUAGUCCCGUAUGCGAAAAACAAACCUUAGCUAGCAGUAUCCUGAGUAGGGCGGGACACGAGGAAUCCUGUCUGAAUCCGGGUCGACCACGAUCCAACCCUAAAUACUAAUACCAGAUCGAUAGUGCACAAGUACCGUGAGGGAAAGGUGAAAAGAACUGAGGUGAUCAGAGUGAAAUAGAACCUGAAACCAUUUGCUUACAAUCAUUCAGAGCCCUAUGUAGCAAUACAGGGUGAUGGACUGCCUUUUGCAUAAUGAGCCUGCGAGUUGUGGUGUCUGGCAAGGUUAAGCAAACGCGAAGCCGUAGCGAAAGCGAGUCUGAAUAGGGCGCUUAGUCAGAUGCUGCAGACCCGAAACGAAGUGAUCUAUCCAUGAGCAAGUUGAAGCUAGUGUAAGAACUAGUGGAGGACUGAACCCAUAGGCGUUGAAAAGCCCCGGGAUGACUUGUGGAUAGGGGUGAAAGGCCAAUCAAACUUCGUGAUAGCUGGUUCUCUCCGAAAUAUAUUUAGGUAUAGCGUUGUGUCGUAAUAUAAGGGGGUAGAGCACUGAAUGGGCUAGGGCAUACACCAAUGUACCAAACCCUAUCAAACUCCGAAUAC
rnacentral:rRNA from 1 species